GUGGGCUGGGAAAUGGUUGCUGAGUAGCUGGGCCUGCCAGGUCCAGCCUUGUAUCAGCUAGCCUGACCUUGCCCUAGAUAAAUGAUCUGGCACCCCCUUUCAGGGGUCUGCCCUGUGCAGUAGCAGGUGUGAGCAUUCUACCAGUAAUUUGAUGGUCAUGUAUGAUACUGCAUACAGCU